UUUUAAUAGCUUAAGUUAGAGCAUGAUAUUGAAGAUGUCAGGGUAGAUUAGUUUCUUUAAAAUAU
rnacentral:tRNA from 1 species